rnacentral:lncRNA from 8 species
AUCAACAUUUAUUUGUCACGUACACAGAUAUUAUCGUAGGUGCUGUCAAACGCUUGUGUUUCUAGCUCCAACAGUGCAGUAAUACCUAGCAAUACAACACAAUACACACAUAAUCCAUAAAGUAAAAAUAAAGAAAUUAAGAAAUAUCAGAACGCGCAAUGUCACAGUCAGUAAUGUUUCAUAUAUACAUAAAUAAUGGUGUGUAUUGACACUAUAGACAGUAUGUUAAUAGAGAAGGUGUGUACAGCAGUAGUUAUAUAGGAUGACUAAAACACAGUGACUAAAACACAGUGUAUACAUAUGAAGUGGGUUAAACACUAUAUAAACAUUAUUAUUAUUAUUAUUAUUACAUGUACAUAGGGCAGCAGUCUCUAAGGUUCAGGGUAGAGUACCGGGUGGUAGCUGGCUAGUAACAGUGACUAAGGUUCAGGGUAGAGUACCGGGUGGUAGCUGGCUAGUAACAGUGACUAAGGUUCAGGGUAGAGUACCGGGUGGUAGCUGGCUAGUAACAGUGACUAAGGUUCAGGGUAGAGUACCGGGUGGUAGCCGGCUAGUAACAGUGACUAAGGUUCAGGGUAGAGUACCGGGUGGUAGCUGGCUAGUAACAGUGACUAAGGUUCAGGGUAGAGUAUCGGGUGGUAGCUGGCUAGUAACAGUCUCUAAGGUUCAGGGUAGAGUACCGGGUGGUAGCUGGCUAGUAACAGUCUCUAAGGUUCAGGGUAGAGUACCGGGUGGUAGCCGGCUAGUAACAGUGACUAAGGUUCAGGGUAGAGUACCGGGUGGUAGCUGGCUAGUAACAGUGACUAAGGUUCAGGGUAGAGUACCGGGUGGUAGCCGGCUAGUAACAGUGACUAAGGUUCAGGGUAGAGUACCGGGUGGUAGCUGGCUAGUAACAGUGACUAAGGUUCAGGGUAGAGUACCGGGUGGUAGCUGGCUAGUAACAAUCUCUAAGGUUCAGGGUAGAGUACCGGGUGGUAGCCGGCUAGUAACAGUGACUAAGGUUCAGGGUAGAGUACCGGGUGGUAGCUGGCUAGUAACAGUCUCUAAGGUUCAGGGUAGAGUACCGGGUGGUAGCUGGCUAGUAACAGUCUCUAAGGUUCAGGGUAGAGUACCGGGUGGUAGCUGGCUAGUAACA